UACGUAGGGUGCAAGCGUUGUCCGGAAUUAUUGGGCGUAAAGAGCUCGUAGGCGGUCUGUCGCGUCUGCUGUGAAAACUCGGGGCUUAACCCCGGGCCUGCAGUGGGUACAGGCAGACUAGAGUGCGGUAGGGGAGACUGGAAUUCCUGGUGUAGCGGUGAAAUGCGCAGAUAUCAGGAGGAACACCGGUGGCGAAGGCGGGUCUCUGGGCCGUAACUGACGCUGAGGAGCGAAAGCAUGGGGAGCGAACAGG
rnacentral:rRNA from 1 species